rnacentral:rRNA from 1 species
GUAUUCUAACUGUGCUAAGGUAGCAUAAUCAUUUGUCUUUUAAUUGAGGGCUGGAAUGAAGGGUCGGACGAGGUAUAAGCUUUCUUUGAUUUAGUUUGGAGAAUUUAAUUUUUGAGUUAAAAAGCUUAAAUUUAUUUAUGGGACGAGAAGACCCUAUAGAUCUUUAUAGUUUAAUAUUUUAAUAAUUUAGGGAUUUAUAUGUUUAAGUAAAUGAACUAUUUUGUUGGGGUGACUGUAGAAUUUAAAUAACUUCUAUUUUUUAUUUUCAUUAAUUAAUGUUUUUGUGAUCCAUAGUUUAUGAUUAUAAGAUUAAGUUACCUUAGGGAUAACAGCGUAAUUUCUUCGGAGAGUUCAUAUUGAUGGAGAAGUUUGCGACCUCGAUGUUGGAUUAAAAUAAGUUGUG